AGGUCUGGUCCCAGCCUUCCCAUUAGUUAUCAGUAGGAUUACACAUGCAAGUAGCCGCACCCCAGUGAGAAUGCCCUCUAGAUAUAUUCCCAUAUCAAAAGGAGCAGGCAUCAAGCACGCCAUACGGCCGCUCACCACGCCUUGCUAAACCACACCCCCACGGGACACAGCAGUGAUAAACCUUAAGCAAUUAACGAAAGUUAGACUGAGCCAUACUGACACUCAGGGUUGGUAAAUUUCGUGCCAGCCACCGCGGUCAUACGAUUAACCCGAACUAAUACAAUCCCGGCGUAAAGUGUGUUUAAGACCGUGCCAGAUAAAGUUAAACCUCACCUAAGCCGUAAAAAGCUCUAGCCAAAGGUAAAAUACCCUACGAAAGUGACUUUAACACCCUGAAAACACGACAGCUAAGACCCAAACUGGGAUUAGAUACCCCACUAUGCUUAGCUAUAAACCUAAGUAGCCCACAAACAACGCUACUCGCCAGAGUACUACAAGCAAUAGCUUAAAACUCAAAGGACUUGGCGGUGCUUUACACCCCUCUAGAGGAGCCUGUUCUAUAAUCGAUAAACCCCGAUAAACCCUACCACUUCUUGCUAAUCCAAUCUAUAUACCGCCAUCUUCAGCAAACCCUACCAAGGUCCCAGAGUAAGCACAAACAUACCACGUAAAAACGUUAGGUCAAGGUGUAAUCUAUGAAGUGGAAAGAAAUGGGCUACAUUUUCUAACAGCAGAACAGCACAUUUAACAUCAACCUUUAUGAAACCUAAAGGCCAAAGGAGGAUUUAGUAGUAAAUUAAGAACAGAGAGCUUAAUUGAAUAGGGCCAUGAAGCACGCACACACCGCCCGUCACCCUCCUCCAUACUACACACAUCAAUUCCCUAAUUAAGCAACUAAAUCACGAGAGGAGACAAGUCGUAACAAGGUAAGCAUACUGGAAAGUG
rnacentral:ncRNA from 1 species